rnacentral:rRNA from 1 species
CCUACGGGAGGCAGCAGUGAGGAAUAUUGGUCAAUGGCCGGAAGCCUGAACCAGCCAUGCCGCGUGAAGGUCAGUGCCCUAUGGGCGUUAAACUUCUUUUGUGCGGGAGCAAUAAUGGUCACGUGUGGCCAGACGAGAGUACCGUACGAAUAAGCAUCGGCUAACUCCGUGCCAGCAGCGGCGGUAAUACGGGGGAUGCAAGCGUUAUCCGGAUUUAUUGGGUUUAAAGGGUGCGUAGGCGGUGAGUUACGUCAGCGGUGAAAGCCCCCGCUUAACGGGGGGAAGUGCCAUUGAUACUGUCGUGCUGGAGUGCGGAUGCCGUGGGAGGAAUGUGUGGUGUAGCGGUGAAAUGCAUAGAUAUCACACAGAACACCGAUUGCGAAGGCAUCUCACGAAUCCGCGAUUGACGCUGAUGCACGAAAGCGUGGGUAUCAAACAGGAUUAGAUACCCUUGUAGUC